rnacentral:rRNA from 3 species
UAAUAAACUAAAACUUUCAACAACGGAUCUCUUGGUUCUGGCAUCGAUGAAGAACGCAGCGAAAUGCGAUAAGUAAUGUGAAUUGCAGAAUUCAGUGAAUCAUCGAAUCUUUGAACGCACAUUGCGCCCCUUGGUAUUCCGAGGGGCAUGCCUGUUCGAGCGUCAUUU